CUACAAACCCACAGACUCAAAGAAAAUGGGUAAUAAGGAGGACCCCAAGGAGGAUGUGUGAAGCUUACUUAGAAGUGGAAACAGAACAGUCAUCAGAGAUAGAAACCUAUCGUAACUGUCUCCUGAGAGGCUAUAUCCAGCAGUGGAUGGAAGCAGAUGCAGAGAUCCAAAGCCAAACAUCAAGUGGAGCUCAGGGAGUCUUGUGGAAGAGUGGGGGACAGAAUUGACCAAGCCAGAAGGGUGAAGGACACCACAAGAAGACCUAGAGUCAAGGGUCUCAGAGUCUGAACCAACCGACCAAUGAGCAUGCAGGGGGCAGGACUUAGUCCCCCUACCCCCAACAUUUGUAGCAGAUAUGCAGCUUGGUCUUUAUGUGGAUCACCUAACAAUUGGAGUGGGGACUGUCUCUGACUCUGUUGCCUGACAUUGGAUCUGUUUAAAAUCAUAAUAACUUCCUG
rnacentral:lncRNA from 1 species